UAAUCGUGCCCUCGCUAGGGCAGGCACCUUGCCGUUGGUGCGGGGGCUUAGCUGAAUCGCCAAUCGGCUAUUCUCUGGACUGGGGUAACGCAGUCACUCUUGUAGUUCCUGCGCUACCCCCUUCCAGCUUAGAACCGCUGGAGAACAGCGACCAAGAACUGCCACCUCCUAAUCCAGGGUGUUACGCGACACCGUGCCUAUUGGACGGUUUGCAGCCAGGAGGGAAUAAUCCGGUUGUAUUAGAACGGCGCCUUCUCGACACCGGGCCGCCUCGAGGAGUAACGGUGGCCUUACCGCGACAUGGGGCGCUGCCGCGGCGGACGUUCGAGAUCCCCCUUAUACGCAUAGACCGCUGAGUUCGCCCCGACGAUCAGGCGGUCGUACGAACAAGAUGAGCAACAACCAACUAAUAACAAUCACAAAAAAACAACAAAAAACAACAACUGGAACUUCAGAAACAAGAGCAACAGUAACGGUAACAACAGCGCCAGCAGGUAGCAAAACACAGCGAGGCAGCUACCCGAAGAGUACUAAGAGAAGUGGCAGCUUCAUGGAGUGUCCUUCUGACACUGAAGCAGCCCUGUUCAUCGAGCACGCGAGCACGGACGAUGAUGAGCCAUCCACCAGUGAGGGGUUUUACCACGAAAAGGCCCUCCCUAAAUCUGACAGGCACCAUGGGAGUGAGCAUUCUUGCAGUCAGCGCAGCUCCGAGAACAGGCACCGCUCCAGCAGCAGGACCCAAUCGAUCAGUGGGCGUCGCUCGGCUAGCAGGCAUCACUCGGGUUCCCCGGCCAGGCAUCGCUCGAGGUCCACGAGCAGGCGUCGAAGGUCACCGAUUCGCUCAGGGUCAUCGGCUUCAUGCGAAGCAGAGUCGCAGACAGAACGCAGGAAGCACAGGAGGGCGAAACCUUCCCCAUUGCCUUCAUCCGGUCAUCGAGGCGCAUUAGAUGACCAGAAUCGAACUGGCUUGGCUAGUUCGGGAGCCAAAUGGUACCUUCGAUAUCUUGAGCAAGGCAAGACGCCAGAUGUAGCCCGAACUCUCGCCGGCGAAAGGGUGAAGGAGGAGGACAGAGCCAAAAGAGGGAGAGCUGCAUCCGCAGAGGAGCAAACAAACGAUACCAAAGAGCCCGCGCCUGCUAGCAAGCAGAGAAGUGGGAAAAACUAUAGCCACCAUAAACCCGCACCUGCUUCAAAGCGGAAGAGCGGGCAAAUCACAUCACCAGAGCACCCUACCCACAAGCGGCAGCGGGAGCACGCACCACCUCCUGCAUCAUGGCCCAGGAGUCAGGGUGGGCAAUCUGACCAAGGGCAGACGCAGGGGGUGCCCCUCCAGGGCAUUCGGCUAGCGGUGCUGCCGAGAGACUUCCCUGCUGUAGCACUUAGCUCGGAUGAGCUUACCGGUCUUCAGGACGCCAUUAUGGAUGCGGUCUCCAACGGUUGGUCUCACCCAUUGGUGUUCUGUGGUGUCUACUUUAGAUUCGGCUUACUACUUGUUGAUUGCAAGGAUGAGAGGACGGCGGCAUGGCUUGCGCAGGUUACACCUAAGCUUGAGGGUUGGAAGGGACCCGCAUUGUGUACCAAGAGGGGAGAUGAAAUCCUUCCGUUGCAUAACGUUACGGUGUUCCUACCAAGAAGCGCAGACAAAUCGGCUGAAUACGCUCUGGGACUGCUCAAAGCGCAGAAUGAGGGCUUGAACACCUCCGCGUGGAGAGUGAUCUCGUGCAGCAUUGAGAACACUGGCCUAAGACUACACCUGGGCAUAGACGAGGAGUCGUAUUGCAGCAUCAAAAGUGUAGGCUUCAAUAUUAACUAUAGAUAUAGCUUCGUCACCGUCAGGCCAUGGCGACCGAAGUCAACUGGUAACAAGGUGGAAGAGUCCCAGGAAACCCAGGCUGACGCAGCCCCUGCCCCUGAUACGGCCGUACCUUUCUAAACUCCGCACCCGCCACCGAUGCCCACCCAGCCUGCGAAAUAGCCACCACCCACACAGCAACAGCAAUAUCCACAGCCGCAAUUACCUAUACAGUCACCAGCUACUGCAACCAUACCUCCAACAGAGAGUACAAGUACAGCGGAGAACGUCCCCUCCACGCAGGACCUGUUAGAAGGGCUAGACAUAAGGCGACUAGAGCUCGCUAAGCGGAUUGAGAGCGAUCUAAGGCCCUCUGACUUAGACGAGCCUAAGAGAUGAAAAACGGUGCUUGGCAGUAGCCCAGGUCAACCUGCAUCAUGCGGUGGCUCCUUCUGCUGCCAGCAGGUUUGCCACGGAAGACCUGGGCAUCCUACUGAUACAAGAACCGUGGAGCUACAAAGGCCAGAGUUCUUAACACAAGAUCUUGUAGAGGUACAGGGGACGCUGAAAGUCAAUAAAAACAACAACAAAUCGCAGUGGCAACCUCACUGGACCAUGCAGAUAAGGAGGCCAUCUGCACAAGCUGGGAAUCUGGUCGACCGAUCUGUGUCGUUUCUGCGAUUCAGCUGAGGAGAUACCAUCUCACCUGUUUGUGGAGUGUAAUGCCGUAGCGAAGCGACAAACGAACAGCAUAGGCUCAAUGUGGCACAUCCAUUCCUUACACUCUAAGGCUGUCCUAAGGCUAAGUUAUAACUUUUUGAACUUGAAUAAAAAAAUAUGGUACUCUUACACUAUGUUGCACAAA
rnacentral:misc_RNA from 1 species